AUUGAACGCUGGCGGCAUGCUUUACACAUGCAAGUCGAACGGUAACAGGUUAAGCUGACGAGUGGCGAACGGGUGAGUAAUGCAUCGGAACGUGCCCGAUCGUGGGGGAUAACGCAGCGAAAGCUGCGCUAAUACCGCAUGCGAUCUGAGGAUGAAAGCGGGGGACCGUAAGGCCUCGCGCGAUCGGAGCGGCCGAUGUCAGAUUAGGUAGUUGGUGGGGUAAAGGCUCACCAAGCCAACGAUCUGUAGCUGGUCUGAGAGGACGACCAGCCACACUGGGACUGAGACACGGCCCAGACUCCUACGGGAGGCAGCAGUGGGGAAUUUUGGACAAUGGGCGCAAGCCUGAUCCAGCAAUGCCGCGUGCAGGAAGAAGGCCUUCGGGUUGUAAACUGCUUUUGUACGGAGCGAAAAGGCUCUCUCUAAUACAGGGGGCUCAUGACGGUACCGUAAGAAUAAGCGCCGGCUAACUACGUGCCAGCAGCCGCCGUAA
rnacentral:rRNA from 1 species